rnacentral:rRNA from 1 species
UACGGAGGAUGCGAGCGUUAUCCGGAUUUAUUGGGUUUAAAGGGUGCGUAGGCGGCCUGCCAAGUCAGCGGUAAAAUUGCGGGGCUCAGCCCCGUACAGCCGUUGAAACUGCCGGGCUCGAGUGGGCGAGAAGUAUGCGGAAUGCGUGGUGUAGCGGUGAAAUGCAUAGAUAUCACGCAGAACCCCGAUUGCGAAGGCAGCAUACCGGCGCCCUACUGACGCUGAGGCACGAAAGUGCGGGGAUCAAACAGG